rnacentral:tRNA from 1 species
GGCCUCGUGGUCUAGUGGUAUGAUUCUCGCUUCGGGUGCGAGAGAUCCCGGGUUCGAUUCCCGGUGAGGCCC